rnacentral:tRNA from 1 species
GGCGCGGUAGCCAAGUGGUAAGGCAGAGNNUUCGCCGGUUCGAUUCCGGCCCGCGCCU